GGGUUGUGAGGUUAAGCGACUAAGCGUACACGGUGGAUGCCCUGGCAGUCAGAGGCGAUGAAGGACGUGCUAAUCUGCGAUAAGCGCCGGUAAGGUGAUAUGAACCGUUAUAACCGGCGAUUUCCGAAUGGGGAAACCCAGUGUGACUCGUCACACUAUCAUUAACUGAAUCCAUAGGUUAAUGAGGCGAACCGGGGGAACUGAAACAUCUAAGUACCCCGAGGAAAAGAAAUCAACCGAGAUUCCCCCAGUAGCGGCGAGCGAACGGGGAGGAGCCCAGAGCCUGAAUCAGCAUGUGUGUUAGUGGAAGCGUCUGGAAAGGCGCGCGAUACAGGGUGACAGCCCCGUACACAAAAGCGCAUGUGCUGUGAGCUCGAUGAGUAGGGCGGGACACGUGGUAUCCUGUCUGAAUAUGGGGGGACCAUCCUCCAAGGCUAAAUACUCCUGACUGACCGAUAGUGAACCAGUACCGUGAGGGAAAGGCGAAAAGAACCCCGGCGAGGGGAGUGAAAAAGAACCUGAAACCGUGUACGUACAAGCAGUGGGAGCACCCUUUUGGGUGUGACUGCGUACCUUUUGUAUAAUGGGUCAGCGACUUAUAUUCUGUAGCAAGGUUAACCGAAUAGGGGAGCCGGAGGGAAACCGAGUCUUAACCGGGCGUUAAGUUGCAGGGUAUAGACCCGAAACCCGGUGAUCUAGCCAUGGGCAGGUUGAAGGUUGGGUAACACUAACUGGAGGACCGAACCGACUAAUGUUGAAAAAUUAGCGGAUGACCUGUGGCUGGGGGUGAAAGGCCAAUCAAACCGGGAGAUAGCUGGUUCUCCCCGAAAGCUAUUUAGGUAGCGCCUCGUGAAUUCAUCUCCGGGGGUAGAGCACUGUUUCGGCUAGGGGGCCAUCCCGGCUUACCAACCCGAUGCAAACUGCGAAUACCGGAGAAUGUUAUCACGGGAGACACACGGCGGGUGCUAACGUCCGUCGUGAAGAGGGAAACAACCCAGACCGCCAGCUAAGGUCCCAAAGUCAUGGUUAAGUGGGAAACGAUGUGGGAAGGCCCAGACAGCCAGGAUGUUGGCUUAGAAGCAGCCAUCAUUUAAAGAAAGCGUAAUAGCUCACUGGUCGAGUCGGCCUGCGCGGAAGAUGUAACGGGGCUAAACCAUGCACCGAAGCUGCGGCAGCGACGCUGAUGCGUUGUUGGGUAGGGGAGCGUUCUGUAAGCCGUUGAAGGUGGCCUGUGAGGGUUGCUGGAGGUAUCAGAAGUGCGAAUGCUGACAUAAGUAACGAUAAAGCGGGUGAAAAGCCCGCUCGCCGGAAGACCAA
rnacentral:rRNA from 1 species